rnacentral:rRNA from 1 species
CCUGGCUCAGGAUGAACGCUAGCGGCAGGCUUAACACGAUGCAAGUCGAGGGGCAGCGGGAUGUAGCAAUACAUUGCCGGCGACCGGCGGAUGGGUGCGUAACGCGUAUGCAACCUACCUUAUACAGGGGAAUAACCUUUCGAAAGGGAGACUAACACCCCAUAGUAUUGAUUUAAGGCAUCUUAGAUUAAUUAAAUAUUUAUAGGUAUAAGAUGGGCAUGCGUAUGAUUAGCUAGUUGGUAAGGUAACGGCUUACCAAGGCGACGAUCAUUAGGGGUUCUGAGAGGAAGGUCCCCCCACACUGGUACUGAGACACGGACCAGACUCCUACGGGAGGCAGCAGUGAGGAAUAUUGGUCAAUGGGCGCAAGCCUGAACCAGCCAUGCCGCGUGCAGGAAAAGACGGCCUUAUGGGUUGUAAACUGCUUUUACAUAAGACUAACCGUAUAUUUGCGAAUAUACCUGAAUGUAUUAUGAGAAUAAGGAUCGGCUAACUCCGUGCCAGCCGCAGC